CCGGUUCCUAACAGACACCAGAUUGAAGAGAGAGUGGAUUUCAAAAAUUAGAAGAGACAUCGGUACAUUUUUCCAGCAAUGAACCUGCUGGAGAGACAGAAGAUGCAAGUGUAGACCUGGCUGGAGUUGACACUGGUGCAGACCAAGUUGUUAAGCCAGCACCCCACUCUGACCAUGACUAUGCUGAACUCUCGGUCACUGGAAGAGCAGCUAGAAGCAGCACGGAAGGAGAUCGCCCACCUUACGCAGGAGAAUACCAUCCUCAAGGCAUCCUGUUUCAACUUGAAGCAAAAAUGAUUCA